AAGCACCGGCUAACUACGUGCCAGCAGCCGCGGUAAUACGUAGGGUGCGAGCGUUNUCCGGAAUUACUGGGCGUAAAGAGNUCGUAGGUGGUUUGUUGCGUNGUCUGUGAAAUUCCGGGGCUUAACUUCGGGGUGGCAGGCGAUACGGGCAUAACUAGAGUGCUGUAGGGGAGACUGGAAUUCCUGGUGUAGCGGUGGAAUGCGCAGAUAUCAGGAGGAACACCGAUGGCGAAGGCAGGUCUCUGGGCAGUAACUGACGCUGAGGAGCGAAAGCAUGGGGAGCGAACAGGAUUAGAUACCCUGGUAGUCCAUGCUGUAAACGGUGGGCGUUAGGUGUGGGGACCGGUUUGGUUUCUGUGCCGUAGCUAACGCAUUAAGCGCCCCGCCUGGGGAGUACGGCCGCAAGGCUAAAACUCAAAGGAAUUGACGGGGGCCCGCACAAGCGGCGGAGCAUGUGGAUUAAUUCGAUGCAACGCGAAGAACCUUACCUGGGUUUGACAUGCACCAGACGGUUGUAGAGAUACGUACCUCCCUUUGUGGUUGGUGUGCAGGUGGUGCAUGGUUGUCGUCAGCUCGUGUCGUGAGAUGUUGGGUUAAGUCCCGCAACGAGCGCAACCCUUGUCUUAUGUUGCCAGCACUUUGGGUGGGGACUCAUGAGAGACUGCCGGGGUUAACUCGGAGGAAGGUGGGGAUGACGUCAAAUCAUCAUGCCCUUUAUGCCCAGGGCUUCACACAUGCUACAAUGGUUAGUACAACGCGCGGCAAACCUGUGAGGGUGAGCGAAUCGCUGAAAGCUAAUCUCAGUUCGGAUUGGGGUCUGCAACUCGACCCCAUGAAGUCGGAGUCGCUAGUAAUCGCAGAUCAGCAAUGCUGCGGUGAAUACGUUCCCGGGCCUUGUACACACCGCCCGUCACGUCAUGAAAGUUGGUAACACCCGAAGCCCAUGGCC
rnacentral:rRNA from 1 species